AUUGAAGUGGUGGAAUUGGUAGACACAGUAGUCUUAGAAACUAUUUUUUAGGGGUUCAAGUCCCCUCUUCAGUA
rnacentral:tRNA from 1 species